rnacentral:lncRNA from 1 species
UUGAAGUCAGGCCACUUGUGCCACGGCUUGAGCAAACCGUGCUGCCUGUAGCUCCGCCAAUAAUGGGAGGCGUAAAA